AUUGAACGCUGGCGGCAGGCCUAACACAUGCGAGUCGAACGGUAACAGGAAGAAGCUUGCUUCUUUGCUGACGAGUGGCGGACGGGUGAGUAAUGUCUGGGAAACUGCCUGAUGGAGGGGGAUAACUACUGGAAACGGUAGCUAAUACCGCAUAAUGUCGCAAGACCAAAGAGGGGGACCUUCGGGCCUCUUGCCAUCGGAUGUGCCCAGAUGGGAUUAGCUAGUAGGUGGGGUAACGGCUCACCUAGGCGACGAUCCCUAGCUGGUCUGAGAGGAUGACCAGCCACACUGGAACUGAGACACGGUCCAGACUCCUACGGGAGGCAGCAGUGGGGAAUAUUGCACAAUGGGCGCAAGCCUGAUGCAGCUAUGCCGCGUGUAUGAAGAAGGCCUUCGGGUUGUAAAGUACUUUCAGCGGGGAGGAAGGGAGUAAAGUUAAUACCUGUGCUCAUUGACGUUACCCGCAGAAGAAGCACCGGCUAACUCCGU
rnacentral:rRNA from 1 species